rnacentral:rRNA from 1 species
UACAGAGGGGGCGAGCGUUGUUCGGAAUUACUGGGCGUAAAGGGCGCGUAGGCGGCUCGCUAAGUCGAACGUGAAAUCCCCAGGCUCAACCUGGGAACUGCGUCUGAUACUGGAUGGCUUGAAUCCGGGAGAGGGAUGCAGAAUUCCAGGUGUAGCGGUGAAAUGCGUAGAUAUCUGGAGGAAUACCGGUGGCGAAGGCGGCAUCCUGGACCGGCAUUGACGCUGAGGAGCGAAAGCUAGGGGAGCAAACGGG